AUAUUCAUUUCAGCAGCAUAUAUGCAUCUAGAGUAACAAGGAGAAGAUCAGCAUGGCCCCUGAACAAAGAUGACAUGCAGAUUUAUAAAGUGUUCCAUACAUUU